CGCCGUCCUUUUCUUCCACAAGUCCCUUCUCCUUAGCCUUCCUUGCCAUUCCAUUGUUGGAUGUCCGUCAGUGAGUGGAAUCCGAUCUCAGCCGGUGCUGCGUUAAUUAGGUUAGCUCAACGCUCUUGUUCUCCCAUGCAUAGUUCGAUCGAUAUGGCGGACGAAUAAAUGUUUCUUCCUUUUCCUGCGUAAAGUGAAUAAGAGGAAAUAAAUGAGCACUCACAAUAUUUAUGGAUCUCCGGAGAGCCUUCCUCCACGUCAACUCUAACAUCAAGAUGGACUAUUAUAUCUCUGACAUUGGGGUCGCCAAGCAUGCUAAACACCCCAUGUACAGAUAAGAAAAAGCCUCCCGUAGAAUCGAUGUGGACAUCCGGAAAUACUGCCCGAAGCUGAAAGUUUUGGCCAUCAUCUACAGGCACGAGAGCGGCAGAUAAUUCCACCUCAUAUUCUUCAAGGCCAGAGUCGAUUACAUUCCAAAUAUUCAAUUUUGCUUGACUGGCUCUGAUGUGUUGCCUUACGACCUCUGGAUGCAAGUGAGAAACAACAUCAAAUGUAGCCACGAUGGGCCAGCUCAUGCGUUGACCCGGAGAGGUUCGCAAUGGAGGUUGGAUAUCGAAUCUCAUGUUGACGUCGAAAUAGCGCUGUGUCAUGUUUUCUACGGGGGUUUGCGGGACCUGGAAGAGGACGGUGGAAUAAGUUGAUUUUAGAUAGCGAUUCGAACUUGAUUUGAAUGAAAAUGGGUAACAAUAGGAUU
rnacentral:sRNA from 1 species